GCAGGAGGCCGUCCAUUGGCCACCGAGGGGCAGUGACUGUGCCCCGGGUGGGGUGGGGGCCCUGGGUGCCCACUGCUGAUUAUGAUUAACCAGCCCGCGAGAGCCAAGGGCUGCUCAUUCCUUCUCUGAAAACGCACGUUUCCCCCCCCAAACCCUUUAGCUCGGACUCUCGCUUUUUUCUUUCUGGGGCCAAUUCUCCAAUUCCAUAUGUCUGUUUUAACUGAGGAGUGCUUGGGGAGCACAGAUGGCGAGGAAGGAACUCAGAGGUAAAGUUGCACUGUCCCGCUGCGUCCCAGCAAAACCUUGGUGGUUUGGCGGUGACAUGUUUGCAGCGGCCUGGAAGGGGAAAGAAGAGAAACUCGGCUUCCUUGGACGUGUGAGAUCCAGUCAAUCUUUUUGCCAUCCUUGAAAAAUGAAGGGGUCGCUGGUUCACUGUGCUGUUUGGAACCAUCAGUCUCGGCUCGGCUACUUCCUUAUGCGCAAGGUCUGCAAGCGGAAAAUCAAAACGGAGAUGAAUUUUUCCGGCAUCUGAGGUCUAAGGAGGAAAUGUUUUGCCGCGUGGGCCAUCGCCUCUGGGCAAGGUGGGAUUGGCCGGAAGGUCAGUUGUUGGGCCCGCUUCUAAAGGCGUUGGUGCCUCGGUUUCUCCAUUCGCUCCCCCUUUGCAAUCAGCCGGCCCUAAGCAACCAGGUCGGAAGACAUUUAAUACUUGUAUUCACGAAGAUUCCCUCCUCUGCCAAAUUACUCGGCUCCGCUGAACAUCGCAAGCAGGACCUUGACUUUCGGUCUCUCAUCUUCACCUCUGCAUUGCCCCAUUUUGGCGACAAUCCUGCCGAGUCAACACAGCCAGGAUCCCCGGCCUUUGCUAUCUGGAUCCAGUUUCUUAUCCUCCACCAUCCCCCAGAGGAUUUCUGAUCCCUUCAGCCUGCCUUCAGCAAGAACCCUCCUUGGUCCACUUAGCAAGAAUCUCCCUUUACCCCUGAUGUUUCCUCUUAAUGAUAUCCAUUCACUGGCUCCCACCCUGCCCCGUGGCUAUCAAUCUCAUGUGCCCAUGUGGUACUCAGACUUGAGUCCAAUGCUCCCCAUUACAGUGGUCCCUAGUCCUUAUUGCCUUGAAUAAAAUCUUCCUUGCCGUGACUUCA